rnacentral:rRNA from 1 species
UCGAGCGAGCUUGCCUAGAUGAAUUUGGUGCUUGCACCAGAUGAAACUAGAUACAAGCGAGCGGCGGACGGGUGAGUAACACGUGGGUAACCUGCCCAAGAGACUGGGAUAACACCUGGAAACAGAUGCUAAUACCGGAUAACAACACUAGACGCAUGUCUAGAGUUUAAAAGAUGGUUCUGCUAUCACUCUUGGAUGGACCUGCGGUGCAUUAGCUAGUUGGUAAGGUAACGGCUUACCAAGGCAAUGAUGCAUAGCCGAGUUGAGAGACUGAUCGGCCACAUUGGGACUGAGACACGGCCCAAACUCCUACGGGAGGCAGCAGUAGGGAAUCUUCCACAAUGGACGCAAGUCUGAUGGAGCAACGCCGCGUGAGUGAAGAAGGGUUUCGGCUCGUAAAGCUCUGUUGGUAGUGAAGAAAGAUAGAGGUAGUAACUGGCCUUUAUUUGACGGUAAUUACUUAGAAAGUCACGGCUAACUACGUGCCAGCAGCCGCGGUAAUACGUAGGUGGCAAGCGUUGUCCGGAUUUAUUGGGCGUAAAGCGAGUGCAGGCGGUUCAAUAAGUCUGAUGUGAAAGCCUUCGGCUCAACCGGAGAAUUGCAUCAGAAACUGUUGAACUUGAGUGCAGAAGAGGAGAGUGGAACUCCAUGUGUAGCGGUGGAAUGCGUAGAUAUAUGGAAGAACACCAGUGGCGAAGGCGGCUCUCUGGUCUGCAACUGACGCUGAGGCUCGAAAGCAUGGGUAGCGAACAGGAUUAGAUACCCUGGUAGUCCAUGCCGUANACGAUGAGUGCUAAGUGUUGGGAGGUUUCCGCCUCUCAGUGCUGCAGCUAAC